GGGGGGGGGGGGGGGGGGGGGGGGGGGGGGGGGGGGGGGGGGGGGGGGGGGGCCAGGUGCUGCUGGACGGACGGACAGACGGACAACGGGGUGGUUAGAGGGGCGGCGGAUGGACGGAUGGACACGGGGUGGACAGGUGGACACGGGGUGGACAGGCGGAUGCCAGGUGGACGGAUGGACACGGGGCGGUCACAGGGAUGUGUCCCACACCACCGUGGCCAGGCUCUCCAGGGGCGGCUGGACGGACGGACAGACGGACAACGGGGUGGUUAGAGGGACAUCAGGUGGACAAAUGCACACAGGAUGGACAAAUGGACACGGGGAGGUCAAAGAAACGCAGGGUGGGCAGGCGGGUGCAGGGUGGACAGAUGGACAUUGGGUGGACAGAUGGACACGGGGUGGACAGAUGGACAUUGGGCGGACAGAUGGACACAGAAUGGACAGACGGAUGUGGGGUGGACAGAUGGACACAGGGUGGACAGGUGGACAUUGGGUGGUCAGGUAGAUGUGAGGUGGACAGAUGGACACAGGAUGGACAGGUGGACACAGGGUGGACAGAUGGACACGGGGUGGACACACUGACAGAGGGUGGACAGAUGGACACAGGAUGGACAAAUGGACACGGGGUGGACAGAUGGCCACAGGAUGGACAGAUGGACACAGGGUGGACAGAUGGACAGGGGGGGGGGGGGGGGGGGGGGGGGGGGGGGGGGGGGGGGGGGGGGGGGGGGGGGGGGGGGGGGGGGGGG
rnacentral:lncRNA from 12 species